rnacentral:rRNA from 1 species
UGGGGAAUAUUGCACAAUGGGCGAAAGCCUGAUGCAGCAACGCCGCGUGAGUGAUGAAGGCCUUCGGGUUGUAAAGCUCUGUCUUUUGGGACGAUAAUGACGGUACCAAAGGAGGAAGCCACGGCUAACUACGUGCCAGCAGCCGCGGUAAUACGUAGGUGGCAAGCGUUGUCCGGAUUUACUGGGCGUAAAGGAUGCGUAGGCGGAUUUCUAAGUGAGAUGUGAAAUACCCGGGCUUAACUUGGGUGCUGCAUUUCAAACUGGGAAUCUAGAGUGCGGGAGAGGAGAAUGGAAUUCCUAGUGUAGCGGUGAAAUGCGUAGAGAUUAGGAAGAACACCAGUGGCGAAGGCGAUUCUCUGGACCGUAACUGACGCUGAGGCAUGAAAGCGUGGGUAGCAAACAGGAUUAGAUACCCUGGUAGUCCACGCCGUAAACGAUGAGUACUAGGUGUAGGAGGUAUCGACCCCUUCUGUGCCGCAGUUAACACAAUAAGUACUCCGCCUGGGAAGUACGAUCGCAAGAUUAAAAACUC